rnacentral:sRNA from 1 species
GCUAUGUGUAAAAAGUGCAGAAUGAGAACCUGCACAGGUUCGAGCCGAGCGAAGCGAGACAACGUUGCCUCUGGCAACGGCCCGCAGGGUGAGGCCAACGGCCGAAUCAUCCUGCACGACCCACCC